rnacentral:pre_miRNA from 1 species
CUAGGCGACAUAGCAAAUUGUGCAGUAUAAACAGAUGUAAUGGAACUGCAUCUAGAGAACCCAUCUGUUUAUACUGCACAAUUUGCUAUGUGGCCUAG